rnacentral:rRNA from 1 species
UACGUAGGGGGCAAGCGUUGUCCGGAAUCAUUGGGCGUAAAGAGCGUGUAGGCGGCUUGGCAAGUCUCGCGUGAAAUCCUGCGGCUCAACCGCAGGCGGUCGCGGGAAACUGCCUCGCUAGAGUCCGGAAGAGGAGAGUGGAAUUCCUGGUGUAGCGGUGGAAUGCGCAGAUAUCAGGAAGAACACCCGUGGCGGAAGGCGGCUCUCUGGGACGGUACUGACGCUGAGACGCGAAAGCGUGGGGAGCAAACAGG